rnacentral:lncRNA from 1 species
UCCACUGCUAAUUUGUCACCUCUCUGUCACUUAGCAUUGCUGGGCAAAGUCCCCACCGAGAUUUGCAGAGAAUACACAGCACUGUAACUCAGAGGUAUCGUGCCUAGAGCAUAUGUGGUCUCUCAUGUUUAUAGGAACCCAUAAGGCAUUAGCAACCUCAGUGUCUCCAGAUCACAGGAGACAACUAGAUACUCACACCCAAGUGAUGGGAGCACACCCAGGGAUGGGAGCAGCCAUGUCCACAAUGAAGUAGGUUUUAGCACUCUCAGGUCCAUUUUUUUUUCCCUAUUGGAGAAUUCACACUGCAGGGUGACAUCAUCAGGCUUCAUGAUCACCAGGGACCAAGGAUCCUGUAGUGAGUGGCAGUAGGCAGCCAACUAUUCUUGGCUUUCAGGAUCUAGAGUAGAUGUUGGUUAUGACCAAGGGCAGAUGUUGACUAUGACCCAGGGCAGGGGUUGACUAUGACCCAGGGCAGAUGUUGACUAUGACCCAGGGCAGGGUUGGCUAUGACCCAGGGCAGAUGUUGACUGUGACCCAGGGCAGGUGUUAGCUAUCACCCAGGGCAGAUGUUGGCUAUGAAAGAGACUUGCUAAUGGACGCUCAAUCAAUCCUGACCUGGGUGUUGGAAACCUGUCCCUCCUGCUGCUGACACUCCCCAUGUGCGUCCUUUCAGAAGCAGGGAAGGCUGUGGAAGCUGUGGCCAUGUCAUAACCCUGUGACCUACGUCAGCCAGCUAGACCCUGCCUCCCAGAGUCACACCACUAGCCAAGGAGAACACAGGCCUGAGAUGGGAGCUUAUCACGAUGGUCUGGAUUCAAGCUGUAAAAUACCAUUCCUCCUGAAGCUGCAGAGACCGCUCAUUGCUUCUCUGUGGAGCUGUCAGGACUCUAUGGAAAGCGCUCACUGUAUGUUGUUGACAUGGACGCAGAUGUGGGGACUUUGUCUGCAGAGAAACAGACGUGAAGCAGAAGAGAGCUGAAGACCAAGGGCUUCGAAGUCAGGGGAUCAGCUGGAAGAUGGACUCUGUCCUUCACUUGUCAUUGGUUCCCUGAAGAAUAAAGGUAGUUAUUAUAAUAUACGAUAUAAUGGUGGUUAUAAGAUCCCAGCCCAACCUCUCAGGGGCGACUUCAGUGUCCCAGCAGCCUAUGCACAAGUCUACUUGCUACAAUGGUCCAAAUUAUAAGUAUUUGCGGAGC